rnacentral:lncRNA from 1 species
GAUCAUCGGAUGACUUUUAUGGAGCUCUGAGAUAAGUCAAACCAGUCCUGAGGUCUCUGCUCCUGUAGGAGAUACUCCCAACUAUUACCCCUGGAACCUCCCAGACUUUUUCUUUUCUCUGGAGCCCCAACAACUUCCUCUUAGGAAUUUGUCUUUCACCCAGGUUCUCACGAUGGCAUGCUCCAUCAACGCAGGCAGCAGACAGAAAAGGAAAGCAAAAGCUAUUUCUUUUGAUCUGCUAACCCAAGAGAGCCAGCUGCCACUACUGCGCUCUGGUGGGGACUGCAAGGAGUUAUGAAAACUUUAAAGAGUGAAAAAGGGCCUGUCCCUCAUGGAUUCUGUUGGCAUGCAGAAGCUUUAAUUGGCUACCAUGAAGUAAGACAUCCUAUGUGAUUGGCUGGGGCACACAUUUGAUUUCCUCUAUCAGUACAGAACUGAAAGCAGGUAGCUGAGAGGAUUGGGGAGUGUCAGUCACUAUCAAGUGCUGAGCAAGCUGGGCAGCAGAUAGAGGAGCUCUGAUAGAAGCUCACUUGUGGAAUUAGUAAAUAAUCCAUCAGGGGUUGUAGGAUAGGCUGACUUCGAAAGCUAUUUGCUGUAGAUGGGGUUGGUUCCCGAGCAGGGGUUAGGUUAAAGUUCUAUUUUGAUGUAUACUUUGUCGUAUGUUUCCAUCUCCCUGUGGUAAGCAGUAAUCUUAGCUUUACAUUUUUUUUAUCAUGUUUACAAUGUAUAAAGUGCAUUUGUGUUUAUCUCAUGAUUAGUGAGUGAUACGAGACUUUGUCUCUUUACUGUAAAGCCAAGGAGUAGACUCAGAAAUGUUCAUUAAUCCAAGCACCGUGGCGAUGAAAGAACUUUAGGGGUGUGUGUGUGUGUGUGUGUGUGUGUGUGUGUGUGUGUGCCUGCUUGUGUAUGGGGGUGGGGGGGAAGGUGCCUGCUUUAGGACUUCAAGUUCAGAGACACAGGUUCAAAAAGCACUAAAUUGCUUUACAGAAGAAAGUAGAGGGUGUGGAAGCUAAUAAAGAUAAACAGUGCUAGUUUACCUUUGUAGUA